CUUGCACUUGAGAGACUCAGCAAGGAUGAGAAUCAGCACCUCCAAAUCCAAGGCCAUGGUACUGAGGGAAGAUUGCAUCGCUCUUUUCAGAUGGCAAGGAAGCCCACUCUGAGUGAAGCCAUCCAUCCAUCUAUCCAUCCAUCCAUUCAUCCAUUUUCACAAACACAGAGACAUUGUUCAGCCAAUGAGGAUGGUGCAAUACGUCCGGAUGCUUCAGACAAAGGCUUAUAUUUAUUGUGAUAAAUAAUUAAAGAAUAUAUCAAUAGGUCGCAUAUUUAGCAGAUAAUUUUGAAUUACUCAUCAAGCACUUCCCUUGUGGGUUUAUAGCUUAGCUAAGGUUAGAGAGAAAUUUCACCAAGAACAGUCACUUUAAUUGAAACAACUAUGCCUAUAGGAACUACUACUUCGAGAAGUUGGGAGAAGAAUUCAAAACAAAAAGUUUUGCUGCUAGACUAGAGAAAGAAUGUAUUGUUGCUAGACAGAAAGUAACUAUAACUGGAAUUCUCUAUACACAAGAUUUCUUCACAGCAAUAAAGACUCCUUAUUCUCUUAAGGAUUUAGUACUUUGGGGAAAAUGGUGAGUCCCUUAGCCUG